AUUCUCCAUCAAAUGAGUGGAAGAACAAUUAUCUUGAUUUUAUUUUUUUGGGCUGUUCUUACCAUUGUUACUCCUAUUCUUGUACGUUUAUCAGCUACUGCUAAAGCCAAUGGGGAAUUUUUUGUUAUCAAACACACAAGUGAGCUAAAGGCUGGAAAAAUGAUGGGGUUGUUGCCAAGGAAGGCGCUACACAUGGACGACGAGGCUAUGGGAGAUGAAAAUGUUGUUAAGCUAUUUUGCUCGGAUACUUCAAAAAUGUGGUCGUACCUUUGUCAGUUCCUUUAAAAGUAGUGUAUGUUUGGAGGAUCUAAUACAAACAUGAGUGACAUUUAUAGAGGAUCCGAGCAACAUAGUUUAUAAGGUGUACAGGGGGCCAAUGAUGAAGAGUGAAAAACAUCAUUUUGGUUGAAGAAAUUGAGUACCAUUAUUUCAAAUUGUUAAGGUAACCCCACUUGAGCAUUUGAGACAUGGUGGUGCUUGCAUUAUUUUGGCAAGGGAUGGAUGGACAAAAUAUUAUUUGGUGUAUAUAUAUAUAUAUAUAUCUACAGAAGGUACAACAACAAUUCCAUUUAUUAUAUUACAGAAGCAAUUGGUCAAUUCUUUUUAUUCUAUUCAACUUUUUUUUUUUCAUUUGUUUUUCCUUUCUCAUAUAACGAUAAUGGUGGAUGUGUAAUA